UCCGAAUAAGGCAGUUACCUUCUUAAGUAAUGCUGAUUUCCAAGAGUAAAAUCUCACCAUAGAAUGAGUUUUAACACAAUAUUGUCCUCAGGAAACACAAACAACUUGUGUUGAUCCCAAUGAGGAAAACCUCGAUAGAGGAGUUUGUAAUAUUGUCCUCAGGAAACACAAACAACUUGUGUUGAUCCUAAUGACGAAAACCUCAGUAGAGGAGUUUUUUGUAAUAUUGUCCUCAGGAAACACAAACAACUUGUGUUGAUCCUAAUGAGGAAAACCUCAACAGAGGAGUUUGUAAUAUUGUCCUCA